AUGGCGCAGCUUUUGUGGCUGGCGCUCGGGGUUCUUCUUCUGGCCAGCUCCGUGGCCGACGCGGCGACUGCCAACUACACCUUCACAGUACAGAGCAUGAAAAUCAACCAGCUGUGCAACAGCACGGACAUCAUCGCGGUGAACGGCCAGCUGCCAGGCCCGACGAUAGACGUGUUCGAGGGCGACGAGGUCGUCGUCGACGUGAUCAACGCGUCGCCGUACAACUUAACCAUCCACUGGCACGGCAUUCUGCAGAAGCUGACGCCGUGGGCGGACGGGCCGAGCAUGGUGACGCAGUGCCCGAUCCAGCCCAACGGCACCUACACGUACCGGUUCAACGUGACGGGGCACGAGGGCACGCUGUGGUGGCACGCGCACUCCUCCUUCCUCCGCGCCACCGUGUACGGGCCCCUCAUCAUCCGCCCCCGCAACGGCACCGCCUACCCCUUCCCGGCGCCGGACCAAGAGGUCCCCGUCGUACUUGGCGAGUGGUGGAGCCAGAAUGUUGUCGACGUCGAGAAGGACGCCGUCAUGGCCGGCCAGCUGCCCAGCCACUCCGACGCCUUCACCAUCAACGGCCUCACAGGCCAGCUCUACCAGUGCGCAAAUGAGACGUUCACGGCGGUGGUGCAGCCGAACACGACGGUGCUGCUCCGGGUGAUCAACGCGGCGCUCAACACGCACCUCUUCUUCAAGGUGGCUGGCCACAACUUCACGGUGGUGGCCGUGGACGCGUGCUACACCGCCAACUACACCACGGACACGCUGGUGCUGGCGCCGGGGAACACCGUGGACGCGCUCGUCUACACGGCCGCCGCGCCGGGGAGCUACUACAUGGCGGUGGAGCCGCACCACACGCUGUCGCCCGCGGCCACCACGGACGCCUCGGACAGCGGCUCCCUCGCCACGGGCAUCCUGCUCUACAACGGCACGUCGGCCACGGCCACGCCCGCCAUGCCGGCCAUGCCCAACAACUCGGACUCGACGGCGGCCAACGACUUCUACUCCGGGCUGCGGGGCGUUCCCGCGGCCGUGCCGUCGCCGGUGGACGUGAACAUGACCAUCCAGCUGGGGCUGGGCCAGCUGCCGUGCGACGCGGCCCAGACCAACUGCUCCGUGAACGCGUUCGCGGCGGCCAUGAACGGCGUGUCGUUCCGGCUGCCGACGCAGAUGUCGCUCCUGGAGGCGCAGUUCGGCAACGCGUCCGGGGUGUACACGGCCGACUUCCCCGACGGCGUGCCGCCCAACGGCACGGCCAUGGUGGAGGGCACCAAGGUGAGGAGCCUGCCGUACAACUCGACGGUGGAGGUCGUGCUGCAGAACCCGAUGGUGUUCCCGUCGGAGAGCCACCCGAUCCACCUCCACGGCUUCAACUUCUUCGUGCUGGCGCAGGGGCUGGGCACCUUCGCCCCCGGCAACGCCAGCGCCUACAACCUGGUCGACCCCGUGGCCCGCAACACCAUCGCCGUGCCCGCCGGGGGCUGGGCCGUCAUCCGCUUCGUCGCCAAUAACCCAGGCAUGUGGUUCUUCCACUGCCACCUGGACGCGCACGUCCCGAUGGGGCUCGGGAUGGUGUUCGCGGUGGAGAACGGGACGACGGCCGACUCCAUGCUGCCGCCGCCGCCGGCGGAUCUGCCCGUGUGCUAG
rnacentral:rRNA from 1 species